ACGCUGGCGGCAGGCUUAACACAUGCAAGUCGAACGGUAACAGGAAUUAGCUUGCUAAUUUGCUGACGAGUGGCGGACGGGUGAGUAAUGCUUGGGAAUCUGGCUUAUGGAGGGGGAUAACUACGGGAAACUGUAGCUAAUACCGCGUAAAAUCUUCGGAUUAAAGGGUGGGACUUUCGAGCCACCUGCCAUAAGAUGAGCCCAAGUGGGAUUAGGUAGUUGGUUAGGUAAAGGCUGACCAAGCCGACGAUCUCUAGCUGGUCUGAGAGGAUGACCAGCCACACUGGAACUGAGACACGGUCCAGACUCCUACGGGAGGCAGCAGUGGGGAAUAUUGCACAAUGGGGGGAACCCUGAUGCAGCCAUGCCGCGUGAAUGAAGAAGGCCUUCGGGUUGUAAAGUUCUUUCGGUGACGAGGAAGGUUGAUAGGUUAAUAGCCUAUCAAAUUGACGUUAAUCACAGAAGAAGCACCGGCUAACUCCGUGCCAGCAGCCGCGGUAAUACGGGGGGUGCGAGCGUUAAUCGGAAUAACUGGGCGUAAAGGGCACGCAGGCGGUGACUUAAGUGAGAUGUGAAAGCCCCGAGCUUAACUUGGGAAUUGCAUUUCAUACUGGGUCGCUAGAGUACUUUAGGGAGGGGUAGAAUUCCACGUGUAGCGGUGAAAUGCGUAGAGAUGUGGAGGAAUACCGAAGGCGAAGGCAGCCCCUUGGGAAUGUACUGACGCUCAUGUGCGAAAGCGUGGGGAGCAAACAGGAUUAGAUACCCUGGUAGUCCACGCUGUAAACGAUGUCGAUUUGGGGAUUGGGCUUUGAGCUUGGUGCCCGUAGCUAACGUGAUAAAUCGACCGCCUGGGGAGUACGGCCGCAAGGUUAAAACUCAAAUGAAUUGACGGGGGCCCGCACAAGCGGUG
rnacentral:rRNA from 1 species